rnacentral:rRNA from 1 species
CAGCAGCAGCCGCGGGAAUACAGAGGGUGCGAGCGUUAAUCGGAUUUACUGGGCGUAAAGCGUGCGUAGGCGGCUUUUUAAGUCGGAUGUGAAAUCCCUGAGCUUAACUUAGGAAUUGCAUUCGAUACUGGGAAGCUAGAGUAUGGGAGAGGAUGGUAGAAUUCCAGGUGUAGCGGUGAAAUGCGUAGAGAUCUGGAGGAAUACCGAUGGCGAAGGCAGCCAUCUGGCCUAAUACUGACGCUGAGGUACGAAAGCAUGGGGAGCAAACAGGAUUAGAUACCCCUGUAGUCCCUGUCUCUUAUAC